rnacentral:rRNA from 1 species
ACAGCAGCAGCCGCGGUAAUACGGAGGGUGCAAGCGUUAAUCGGAAUUACUGGGCGUAAAGCGCACGCAGGCGGUCUAACAAGUCAGAUGUGAAAUCCCCGGGCUUAACCUGGGAACUGCAUUUGAAACUGUCAGGCUGGAGUCUUGUAGAGGGGGGUGGAAUUCCAGGUGUAGCGGUGAAAUGCGUAGAGAUCUGGAGGAAUACCGGUGGCGAAGGCGACCCCCUGGACAAAGACUGACGCUCAGGUGCGAAAGCGUGGGGAGCAAACAGGAUUAGAGACCCGAGUAGUCCCUGUCUCUUAUAC